rfam:Triticum aestivum genome assembly, contig: Triticum_aestivum_CS42_TGACv1_scaffold_179474_2DS
UUAAUACUCCCUCCGUCCCAAAAUUCUUGUCUUAGAUUUGUCUAGAUACGGAUGUAUCAAGUCACAUUUUAGUAUUAGAUAUAUCCGUAUUCUAGACAAAUUUAAGACAAGAAUUUUAAGAUGGAGGGAGUAUAAA